GGUAUAUAUCUACUUUCUCUUCAUCUUCAAACAGGCAGAAUCAAGCUCAUGGAAUUUUCAUUAGAAACAGCAUCUGCCCUCAGCUUUCUCAUCAAUCUACUCCUUCAAAUCCCUCUCUGGCACUGGAAUUACAUGGUACUGAUUGGAUUCAGACAAAGUUUUGUUUGAGAUAUCCUGAGCCGCCUGUUUCAAGUCAGUCAAAACAUUCCAGACUUCAAAAGAAGUCUUUGCCUUCUUGGGCCGUUUUGGUGUCCCUCUAUGGCUGGCCGAGGAGGGAUUGGUUAUUUGGAUAAAUUAAUUUGUGGAGCCUGCUGGCCUUCUCCAAGACCUCAAUGUCUGACUGCAAAUUAGUUCUACUCAACAUGAAGAAAUCCCUGGACAGACUAGAAGAAAUAAAUGGUGAUAAAAUCUAAUACUACAAUGUUUGUAAUGUGAUUUUAUUCUGCUAUGGAGCUUGUAAGAGAGUUAAUGUCGAAUUAAAUUUUUUUUUUUAAUUUAAAAAAAAAGGGGCCAUGAAAGCAGAAAAUCAGAUCAGUAUCCAAGUCACAGCAGAGAAGGCUAAAAGCCAACUUCAGAGUAAGACUUCCAGCAGGAAUCUUUUAUAAGAACAAACAAAAUUGCCCUGGUUUUUCAACAAAAUCAGCUAGGUAUUUACAUUUCGGAUACAUCUCCCUUCCCCCAUCCCCUCCCCUUAAGACAGGAAGUCACACAGUUGAAUUCAGCUUGAACUGAGGCUGUGAAUAAACUGCUAAAGCAGUCCUUUAAGGCCUGGCUGAGCAAGUGCCUAAGGAUUGCUUAUCCUUAAGGAAGAAAAGUCUUGGAGCCAAAACUAACAAACAUGGCCCCUCAAGCGGAACAAUGGUCCAGAAAACUCAGCAAAAAGGAAAAUAAACUUCAUUGGCAGUUUGUUUUUGACUGUUAAGAGCCCAGCUACAACUCUAUCAAGAUUUUUCAGAAGGAACCCUGAAGGUAGAUACUAUUAUUAUCCCUAUUUUGAAGAUAAGAAAAAAAAGAGACUGAAGUGACAUCUCCAAGGUAACAAAACAAAUUUAUGAAUAUGGCAGAUGUCUUUCUAAUCUCGACAUCAGUACCUGGUCUCUGCUAAGUAGACAAGCAGGAAAACUACUCUAUUCUGAUUAAACUUAGAGUAAAAUAUCCUAAUAUGUCAAACAAAAAAAGGCCUUCAUGUAGCUGAGGAAGAAAAAUUGAGCAAUUCUCAUCUCAAAAUGAGGAGCAUGGAAAAAUUACUCUACUUAUAACAAAUUUAUUAGAAGAAGCAUGGAUUGCCCAUUUCCUUUUUGAAUUCUUUCUUUAGGUGGUUUGUCUUUCUAUGGUUUAAAGAACUCACAGGCAAAGCAAUAUUUCUUUGCCUAAUUUCUUUCCUUGUAAUGUUUGAUAAAGGCAUCUUAGGGUGUACACAGACCCUCGGAGAAUCAGGGUAGGAUUAUCCUUUUUUUUAGCUUAAUAUUUUUCCCAAUAUACUUAUCUAAAAAUCAAAAUGAAUGAUCACUUUAAUUCUGCCUUUUGCUCUUGUGAGAAUCAAUGAGUAGAUAAUCUAAUCAGUCUAUCAAUGAAUAUUUAUUAAGCAUCUAUUAAAUAUGCCAGCCAUUUGGUGAUUCCUCUCCCCUCAGAUUUGGGAGCUAGAAAGUAGAGCAUAAAACUUCUGCCCAAAGCUUCCUUUUACAGAGAGCUGGAAUCUGGACUUUCCAUAAGCAGCUCUAUUUGACUUCAACUCCACAGAACAUGAUAUCUGUGGCAGAUACCUUCAGAUAUCUCCCUUACUUUCCAGCUUGCUUUUUUGUGUUGUCUUCUCCCAUUAGGUUGUUAGCUCCUUGAAGGCAAGCCGGAACUAUCUUUCUUUUUCUUGUUUGUAUCCACAGACCUCUGCACAGUGUCUAGCACAUAGCAGGUGCUUAGCAAAUGUUUAUUUAAUUAAAUGAAUUCAGAGACAAAAACAAAACUGUCUCUGACCUCAACAAGCUUACAUCUACAAGAAGAGAACAUAUAAAUAAAUGCAAAAAUACAAAAUAAUUGUUUUGGGACAUACUGGUAUCUGAGAGGGAUCAGAAAAGACUUCAUGUAUAAGAUGAAUCUUUGAGCUAAGCUUUGAAGGAAACUUCUAAGAAGCAAUGAGGAGGAGGGAACGAAUUCCAGGAAGUGGUGGAAAUCUGAAUAAAGACUGAAUAAAGAGGAAGAAAAUGGGAUCUUAUGUGUGAGGAACAACAAAAAGACUUCUGUUUGGAUUGUGGAGAGUAUGAGGGGAAGAAAUAUAAAUCAAAUAUAGAAAGGUAACUUGGAACAAGGUUGAUAAAUUCUUUAAUGUCUAAAGAGUUUGUAUUUAACUUGAGGAUUAAUAGAGAGUCAUUUAAAUUUGUUGAGUAGUGCAGUGGCAUGAUCCUAUCUAUGAUCUCAAGGAUGUCCCAUCCUUGAGAGACUGGAUGCAGGGAAAAUCAGAAGACUAUUUCAGUAGUUGAAGAAAGAUCAUGAAAGCAUUAGAGGCACCUCUUCCAUACUGCCCCUGGAGUUGCAAGGACUUCUUUCCACAGAAUCACAUAAUAUCCCCAUCUAGCCCAACUAAUAUUUAAAUAAGAAUCCUCUUUAUUGUGUCUGACAAGUGAUCAUCUAUUUUUUCCUUGAAGACAUGGAGGUCUUAUUUCAUCUAAGAUGAAAUUCCUCAUCUUCCUUCUUAAUUAGGCCAUUUGACUAAUUAGUACUAAUUGUUAAAAGCUUUCCUAUUUACCUUUGUACUUUCUGCCUAUUGCUUUUAGGUCUGUAUUAUGUGGCUUCACAGAAUAAAUUGAAUCCCUCUCCCGGGUGACAGCACUUCAAAUGUUCAAAGAUGACUAUCAUGUCCAUCUGAAAUCUUUUCUUCCUCAUGCUAAACAUUCCUAAUUCCUUUGAUCAAUCCUCAUAUACCAUGAACUGAGCCUCUUAAGACUUAUUGCCUUCCCCUUGAUUCUUUCUAUCUUAUCCGUGGUCUUCCUAAAAUAUGGCUCCCAGAAUUGAAUUCAACACUACAGGUGUAAUCUGAUUUGGGCAGAGAAUAUCAGACCUAUUAUCUCCCUAGUUCUAAACAUUUUGCUUCUCUUCUGUGUCUGUUAUGUCAUGGUAACAUGUUGAACAUCCAGUCCACUAAAACCUCUAUGUCAUUUUCAGACAAAUUGACUUCUAUUCCCUCAUCUUAUCAAGUAUUAGACUUGAAGUCAGGAAUCUAAAUUCUGAUUGUACCUCCAACACUUACUAGUUGUAUGGUUAAGCUAGGUCCUUCACUGGACUUCUCUAAACUUGUUUUCUAAUAUGUUACUAAUGGUACUAAUAAGGAUCAUGAAGGUCAAAAUAAUAAUGUAUGUCAAAGACUCUACAAACCUUAAAACACUAUAUAAAUACUAGAUAUUAUUACUAUUACAACUCCUUCUCCUCUUCCACCCCUUCCACCACUACCACUACUACCACCACCACCACUACCACCACUACUGCUGCUGCUUUCAACUUAUGAAAUAGAUUUUUAAAGCUAAGAUUUUAGAUAUAUUCCCAUUUAACCCAAUCUUGUUAAAUUUUGACCAAUAUUCUAGCUUUUUGACAUCAUUUUAGCAUGCCACUCUUUUAUCUAAAUUUAUCAAUAAAGACUCUUACUCUUGUUAAUAAGGGAUUAUGUAAUGAUUCCCUUCCCCCUAAAAAAUACCAUUUAGAUCUUAAAAGUUUCCAAAAAAUGCUAGUGAACCAUCACAAACCUAUACAAAGAGCCCAUUUGGAUGAUUAAGAACACUUGCUUUUCCUAUCCAAAUCAGAGACUCUGAGGAGAGAGAUGUCCAUUAAGGAACCUCAUUGCCUCCUUUUCUAAACCAGUGCUUGAAGGUCCUCCCCACAUAUACACAAGCUUUGAAGUUUUUUGUAAUACAGACCUCCAUCUAUGAAGUAAAUAUGGAGAUUUCAGGAUUUGAUGACUCACAAAAAGAUUCAGGGGCAUCUAGGAGGCAGAAUGGAUAGAGCACUGUGUUAGGAAUCAAGAAGACUCAUAUUUCUGAGUUCAGAUCUGGUUAUUAGCUGUGGGACUGGGCAAGUCACUUCACUUUGUUUUCCUCAUCUAUAAAAUGAGCUGGAGAAGGAAAUGGCAAACCAGUUCAGUACCUUUGCCAAGAAAACCCCAAAUGGGGUCAUGAACUGUCAGAUAUGACUGAAACAACUGAACAACAAAAGAUUCAGAGAACCAUAAUAAAAACAAAACCAAGUCAGUAUAAGAAACCAACAAUGGAAGAACUUCCAAGGAACUUUUAAAAAAAUAAUUUCCAUGCAAGAAGAGGCCUGGAGUUUUCUCACCAUGUCUUCUUAUUGCUCAUGUACUUGUGUAAAGUGGCAAGGAGUUUACCAAGUAUUUUAUAGAAUAAAAAUGCUAGCUUCUAAUUAACUCAAUUAGUAGGAAUAAAUGUAAAGAUAAGCCUCUGAAAGCACAGGCAUUUCAUUAUCCUGAAGCCCAAGACAGGAAACAAAGAAGCAAGAAGUAAGAGGUUAAGGUUAUUGUCAACAGAGCUGUCCUCAGUGUCAAGAAGACCUGAGUAACUUAACCUUUCAGGGAACCAAUAAACUCUCUAAAACAACAACUAAAGCAAUAGCUAAUAUGUCUAGCACUUACUGUCUGUUUGGCUAAAUGCAAAGCACUUUUCAAAUAUGAUCUAAUUUGAUCCUUAUAACAACCUGAAGAGGUAGGUAUUAUUGUCAUUCCCAUUUUGUAGAUUAAGAAACUGAGGCAAUAAAGUUUAAGUGAGAAACAGAACAGAUGUUAAUCUUCAUUGAUAGAGGGAGUUUCCUCAUCAGAAUUUCUCUAUAUGAAUGAGAUGACUGCAAUCCAAAAAAGGACUAGGGAGGACAAAGGGGGUAGAGAUAGCCAGAAUGUCUUCAAAACCAAGAUUGAACUUGAAAGUCUGGAGAAUGUCCAUGAAAUGCUAUUCUUAUUCUUGAUUGCUCCAUUGGUGUUCUUUUUUUCAUGAUUCUUUUCAAGCUUUAUUGCUAAUUCUCCUUUCAUGUCUACCCUUAUUCUCAUUGUGCCUAAAGAAAAUUGGGAAUAUCUCAUCAGAAAGCAUAUUUAGAAACCAAAAGAGUUUAACUAGGAUAAAGGAUCUAUUUCUGCACAGCUAGGUUCCAGUUAGAUUAUAUGCCACCUAGACCAGAGAAGGUGGAAAGCAAGAUGCCAAUUACAACACCUUCAUUGCAACAUAAGAGAGCUUUCCUGGAGACUCUUCUUUUAUUUUUCUGUGUAGAUUGAAUAUAGCCAAAUAUCUCCCCAGAACAAAACUACAUCAUUACAUUUGUUAUAAUUAGAUGCAUAAUUAAAUUGUGGUAGAAAGAAUGUCAACAGAGAAAUGUGUGACUGGGGGGAAAUGGACCAAUCAAGUAAUAAACACUAAUGGAUAGCUUGCAUGCUUCAUUGGUAUUCACACAAUAUUAAAAGAAUAUGAAGAAGGUGUCCAGACAUUGGCCAGUCCCAAUAUAGCAGCCUGAACAAGCAUCACACAAGAUGAAAAAGCAAUGACGGGUUACAAUGAGAAACACUGACAGUAUUACCCACACCAAUGAAAUCAAUUGGAAAUCAUCAAAUAUGAGGGGAAAGUGCCUUCUAUGUUUUAGGCACUCUUAGGUACUAAAUAUACAAAUAUAGAAGUGAAACAUUUCCAGUCCUCAAAGAACGUGCAUCCUACUGGAUCACAGAUCCACUGGAAAUAAAAUAGUCUUUUAUGUAGACUUCAUUUUUAUAUGUGAUUCUUUCUUCAUUCAUAAUGAUCUCUGUAAUUUUAUCAUUAAUUUUCCUUUUAACUUUAAUGAUUUAGUUUUUAUUUUUUAUGUUAAGUGUACAUGAGAUAUAUGCAUUUUCAAGCAGAAUGAUUUAUGAACAAUUAUCAAUAUGUUUAAAACUGGUAUUACUUAAAAUCAUCAAAGAGUUCUGAAUCUGAAGUCAAAAAGGACUACUUUGAAUGCUAACUCUGCCACUCUUUGUCUGCAGGAUGUUGGACAGACACUUAAAUUUCCCGGGACCUCAGUUUCCUCAUCAAAAAAUGAGAGAGUUGUAUUAUGAGGACUGCAAAGUCCCUUUUCAUUCUAAAUUUAUGAUUCUAUACAUGUUAAUAUCUGUGAUAGUUACACAAAACUGGGGCAAAAAAGACAAGAAUAAAAACAAAUGAAAUAAAAUGACUUUUGAAUAACAA